AGGAUAAGACAGGAGCUUGGAGAGGCCAGGGCCAGCUGGGCAGCCUCAGGGCAGAGCUCCUGGAAGCCACUGCCGCCAUGGACUGGGCUCCCUUCUACCUCCUGCCCCUGGUUUUCUCCACAGGUCUCUGUGCUGAGCCUGUGCUGACCCAGCCUCUCUCUGCUUAUGCCUCUCUGGGAGCCUCGGCCACACUCACCUGCACCCUGAGCAGUGAGCACAGCGACUCCACCGUUUACUGGUAUCAGCAGCAGCCAGGGAAGGCCCCUCGGCAUUUGUUGUACGUUACCAGUGGCGGAAUCGACAGGAACGGGGAAGGAAUCCCCGACCGCUUCUCGGGCUCCAGUUCUGGGGCGGACCGCUACUUAACCAUCUCCAACCUCCAGCCUGAGGACGAGGCUGAGUAUAUCUGUGAUGCAGACUAUAAAAUUGAUGGACAAUAUGGUUAA